rnacentral:rRNA from 1 species
CUGCUGCCUCCCGUAGGAGUCUGGUCCGUGUCUCAGUACCAGUGUGGGGGACCUUCCUCUCAGAACCCCUACGCAUCGUCGCCUUGGUGGGCCGUUACCCCGCCAACUAGCUAAUGCGCCGCAUGCCCAUCCGUCUCCGAUAUUCUUUCAAAACCAGACGAUGCCGUCCAGCUUCAUACGGGGUAUUAGACGCCGUUUCCGACGAUUAUCCCCCUGAGACGGGCAGGUUGCAUACGUGUUACUCACCCGUGCGCCGGUUGCCGG